GCCGGGUGCGGUGGCACGUGCCUGUAGUCCCAGCUACUGGGGAGGCUGAGGCUAGAAGAUCACCUGAGCCCAGGAGUUCUAGACUGUAGUCACCAUGCCGAUGCAGUGUCCACACUAAGUUCGGCAUCAAUAUGGUGACCUCCCGGGAGCAGGGGACCACCAGGUUGCCUAAGGAGGGGUGAACCGAAGGCCCAGGUCAGAAAUGAAGCAGGUCAAAACUCCCGUGCUGAUCAGUAGUGGGAUCACACCUGUGAAUAGCCACUGCACUCCAUCUUGGGCAACAUAGUGAGACCCCGUCUCCU
ensembl:misc_RNA Metazoa_SRP Metazoan signal recognition particle RNA